CUGGUCGAUAUUCUGCCUAACGAUGAUGAACCAUCUCUCUCUCUCUCAGUCUCUCUCUUGUGUCUCGCCAUAUCUCUCCCCGUUCUCGCCUCGCCUCUCUCUCUCUCGGUCUAUGUGUCCCUCUUUUCUUCUACCCUCAUUCACUGUCUCGGAUUUUGCUUUGCAUUCACAGAAAAGGGCUGAUUAGACGAGCAUCACAACAACCUAAACUUAUCGGUGAAUCAAGGGAUACCUUUGAUACUGGAGCACUCCACUUUCAAGUUUCUAAGACUUCUCAGAGAACCAAUCCACCGGGGUAACUGUUCAAGAUUUCCAGUUGCAACUUCAAAGGAUUCAUCAGGUAGAACGGCAAGCAACUUGCAUGAUGAAACUCUCAGCUUUUGCACUCCUUUACUUAAGUCCAUCUCGUCCUCUAUUCUUCUCAAGGGAGUUCCGAACAUUUUCACCCUCCCCGAGGAGAUCCAAC